rnacentral:rRNA from 1 species
UACGAAGGGAGCUAGCGUUGUUCGGAUUUACUGGGCGUAAAGGGCGCGUAGGCGGUCUUGCAAGUCAGAUGUGAAAGCCCUGGGCUUAACCCGGGAAUUGCAUUUGAAACUGCAAGGCUAGAGUGUGGGAGAGGUAGGUAGAAUUCCCAGUGUAGAGGUGAAAUUCGUAGAUAUUGGGAAGAAUACCAGUGGCGAAGGCGGCCUACUGGACCACAACUGACGCUGAGGCGCGAAAGCGUGGGGAGCAAAC